GUUUCCUCCAAUUUGAAGAACAUCUCGAGUUAUUUCAGUGAGGGAGGAAACUUUGGCUGCUGCUUCUGAGCUAGGCCAGCUGGGACGGAGCCAAGAUGCUCGUACGGAGGGGGAGGCCAGGUUGGGGAAACUUAUAAGAUCAGCGAGGGAACGACUCAGCCUGGGAGCCGCCGCAUCCUGGGAGGGACUGGAGCCCAGACAAGGGCUUCUCCCCUCAGAGGAUCUCCUGUCUGCACCGCUGUGGCUGCUGCCAAAGCCUCCCAUAAAAAGAA